CACAACCCUGUUUGUACUGGGUCUCAGUACCCACCUGGGAGUCGGAGCUCCAAGUAGUAGUUACAAGCUGAAAAUCAGCCUGCUGCUGUUCAGACCGACUCCUAACUGAGAUACCGUCCUGUCUCAUCAACGCU